AGUGAACGCUGGCGGUAGGCCUAACACAUGCAAGUCGAACGGCAGCACAGGAGAGCUUGCUCUCUGGGUGGCGAGUGGCGGACGGGUGAGGAAUACAUCGGAAUCUACUCUGUCGUGGGGGAUAACGUAGGGAAACUUACACUAAUACCGCGUACGACCUACGGGUGAAAGCAGGGGAUCUUCGGACCUUGCGCGAUUGAAUGAGCCGAUGUCGGAUUAGCUAGUUGGCGGGGUAAAGGCCCACCAAGGCGACGAUCCGUAGCUGGUCUGAGGGGAUGAUCAGCCACACUGGAACUGAGACACGGGCCAGACUCCUACGGGAGGCAGCAGUGGGGAAUAUUGGACAAUGGGCGCAAGCCUGAUCCAGCCAUACCGCGUGGGUGAAGAAGGCCUUCGGGUUGUAAAGCCCUUUUGUUGGGAAAGAAAUCCAGCUGGCUAAUACCCGGUUGGGAUGACGGUACCCAAAGAAUAAGCACCGGCUAACUUCGUGCCAGCAGCCGCCGUAA
rnacentral:rRNA from 1 species